GGAGGGAGAGAGGGAGAGAGAGAGGGAGGGAGGGAGGGAGAGAGAGAGGGAAGGACAGAUGGAGAGAGGGAGGGAGAGGGGGAGAACUUUGUUAAUUCCACCUCAUUGAGCGUUCUCCAACUCUUUGUUUACGUUUCUUCAAUAAGAGAUGAGAGUGAGUGAGCGAAAAAGAGAGAGCGAGAGCCAGAGAGAGAGCUAGAUGAUUCAGAGGAGAAGGAAGGGAAUUUAUGAGGGUUAGCUGGGGCCCAAUGGGAACAGAGAUGAAGAGUAAUAAUAAUGAGUACAGUAGGAGGCAAACAAAUUCAUGUUAUGAAGCCACUUCAGAAAGACACACUGGGAAGCCUUUUCUCCAGUUAUCUGAGAGUCCAGAGCUCUUUCUCCAGUUUUCAGCGUCUUUUGAACACUGGAAAACUAAAUUGUGUUAGGGUAGUUAUUUGUAUUUAGGUCAGAUUCAGGUGCCAAAGAGAAAUGGUUCAGUCGUAUUAUGAUGAUGAAAUAAAACAAAUUUCCCUGCAAAGGUUGUCGGUCGUUCUGGGCUGUUACCGGGCACGUGCGGAGACAUGUGUUUUUUGUGUUGUCGUGGAAACAAAGGUUUUGUGAAACGCGGGCAAAGCUCAGAAAAUAACUAUAAAUUGAGGUAGUGUGUCAUCCCGGAUUCAUAAUAAACAAUAGGCGCAGCAUGUUCUUGUACAGACAACAGACGUUACUUGUGCCACCUGUUGUAAUAUUAAUUGUUAUUUUUCUAUGUUUCAUACAGUAAAGCGCUUACUGGGCUAAUAUCUGCGAUGGCCAGCGGCCACGAAUCUGAUUAAAAAGGGGAGGCUGCCAUUAGAAUCGAUUCCUUCUGGGAUUGCUACACGCAAGUACCCUGUACAUUUAUUCAUUAAACUUGGCAGUGCUGUUCUUUGGGGAUAUUUUAUAUUAGGGACUCACUCGCUGAAUAACUUGUGUGGGAGUAGAAAUGUGUGCAUACGUGCGUGUGUUUGUGUAUGUGCAUGCGUGCGUGUGUGUGAGUGUGUGUGUGCGUGCGUGUGUUCUCUGGCUGUGCCGCUGCUGCUGCUGCUGGUGCUUACAGUGACUCACCGACUGGGGUUAGGCUGUGUGUGUGCGUGUGUGUGUGUGUGUGUGUGUAUCUAGCUACACUGUAGAUGAU
ensembl:lncRNA